AUUUGCAUUCGCACUCGCUAAAUUUGCAUUCGCACUCGCUAAAUUUACAUUCGCACUCGCUAAAUUAAGGGGGGUGGUGGAAAUUUAGCGAGUGCGAAUGCAAAUUUAGCGAGUGCGAAUGCAAAUUUAGCGAGUGCGAAUGUAAAUUUAGCGAGUGCGAAUGCAAAUUUAGCGAGUGCGAAUGUAAAU